UAGCAGGUGCAAAAACAAAAAGCAAAGAUCUAUCUCUCUAUCUUCCAUCUGCAUUUAAUUAUGCACAGUUAAGAAAGCAAACAUUAUCAUAACAUCUAACUCAUCGACGUUUGAGUAAGAGAUACUAUAUGAAGAAUAUGACCUUAUACGCUUCAUCUGCAAAACAAAUCAUUAAUAGUUAAUGUUCAUCAAGUAAAAUAACAUAUGAAGUUCAUACAUAAAAGACAAAAUUGCAAACAUGGUUUCUGUGGUAUGCAUUUUUUGGGGGUUUUAGUCCAAACCAUGAUUUUUUUGAAUUGAUGGUCCUUUUGAGGUAGUUUUGUUGCGUUUUUGGUCCCUCAGUAAACUGAAAUGACCGUAAUACCCUUGGGUAUUUAUUUUUCAUUUUUCUUUCAUUAUUUUAAAAUCUAAUUGUUUAUUUAUUUAUUUUAAUAAUUAAAAAAGUGGGGCCACCUCUCUCUCUCUCUCUCUCUUGAAAAAGAAAUUCACCCUCCACCCACUUCUUCAUCUUCCCCAAUUCAUAUCAUAUCUGAUGAACACAAAUACACACUUCUAAAUCAUAUGAACACAUGGAGUUUUCAGAUUCUAUUUCUCACACAAACACACAUCUAUAUUUCAUAUGAAGACGGAAAUGUCUAGAGAACGUUGUUUGCGAUUCACAGAUAUGGAAGGAUGUGUGAUAGUGACUGCAGGGGAACGUUAGAAGUUGGAGAUAGCUACAAGACCCGUCAUCUCCAUUCACUCCGAUUCAGCGGUAACCCUAAUCCGAUCUUCAUAGCAACAACGGCAAAACUCUAAUCGGAGUUAGGGUUUGUAGUGGCUCCGGCAACCUCAAGCUUCAUCUUUAUCCUUCUCCGAUUGAUCCAAUCUCACUGCUUUCUACCUAUUUCUCAACAUAUAUACAUACAGAUAAAUGUAUAUAUUUCUGGUUUAAUUUUCAUCUUCAUCUAUUUUUGGUUUAAUUUUCAUCUUUCUUACUUUCUCUUUUGUUCUCCCAACAGGUAGUAAUGAUCACUGACAUUUGUUAGAAUCGAAUUGGUUUUGGAUCUAUUAAUCUAAUUGAAAAGGGAUUGGAAGUGGGUUGAUUUGGGAAUCGAGGUUUGUGUUGAUUGGGAUAUUGUUUCCUCAAAAUCUGUUAAAAACGGUAAUGGGUUUGGAGAGAGAGAGAGAUCUAUUUUGGAGACGGUAAUCUAACCGGGAAUAGCAGCAACAAUAGACGGUAAUCUGUUAAGAUGUUGAAAUUGAUUUUGGAGAAGGAGGAGGGUCACCAAAGGGAAGCGAGAGGGACUUCUUGAUAGUCAUUGAAAUGAGUCUUCUUCUCCUCGAUCCAGGGUGUGUACGUGUGUUUAUAGUGAAAGUGGGUGAAUAACUUUAAGUUUUUUUGUGGGUUAAUCCAAGUUGCUUGAAUCUGAUGUUGAAAUGGAUUAUGAACGAUGUUUGGAUCGUUGGUGGGUUUGCGCACACAGAGAGAGAGAGAGAGAGAGAGAGAGAGAGAGAGAGAGAGAGAGAGAGAGAGAGAGAGAGAGAGAGAGAGAGAGAGAGAGACAAAAAUUGUCUAUAUAUUUUNNNGUGGAGAGAGAGAGAGAGAGAGAGAGAGAGAGAGGUCCAAUUUAAUUAUUUAUUUUCUUUUUCAUUUAAGUUAAAUAGAAAAAACAUAAAAAAUAAAUACCCAAGGGUAUUACAGUCAUUUCAAUUUACCGAGGGACCAAAAACGUAACAAAACUACCUCAAAAGGACCAUCAAUCCAAAAAAAUCAUGGUUUGGACUAAAACCCCAAAAAAAUACAUACCAUAGGGACCAUUUUUGCAAUUGUCUACAUAAAACACAUCAAAUUCAAACACCAUCAAACACCACGUAAACUAGUGCAAUAAAUUUUCAUAUUACAUCCCUACAUUAUAAUAUAACUAUUUAUCCAAACUAUCAAGCCAAUCUUUCCUCGUAUUCUAAGACAUCAUUAAGGCUGGAUGGAGUCGUUGGAAAAGGUAAGGGCGGUACCACCGGGAAACAUUAACGCCAUGGGUUUAGCGGGUUCACGGUUUCAUUGUAUAUAAUUAGGUUGGUGAACUCGUGUCGAGGUGGUAGAAUUGUUUUGUUUUUCUUAGCAACAUUAUGCUUUAUGUAUGUAAGUAUUUUUUCAUCAAUUUAAAAAAGAUUCCCUUGCACACUUCACUCUUUGAAUGCAUGAUUUUAUGUAACUUUGAUUUUGAUUACAUUAAUAAUAUGAUUUAUUUUUUAUUUUUAUUUUUAUUUUUUUGUUUUAUAAAUUUAUUUAAUUUAUGGUUUUGUAGUGUUUUCCAUAUUACAUUAAGAAGAACACACAAUUCAUUCAUUUAUUUAUUUUAAA
rnacentral:lncRNA from 1 species